UACGGAGGGUGCAAGCGUUAUCCGGAUUCACUGGGUUUAAAGGGUGCGUAGGCGGGCAGGUAAGUCAGUGGUGAAAUCUUUGGGCUUAACCCGAAAACUGCCAUUGAUACUAUCUGUCUUGAAUAUUGUGGAGGUUUGCGGAAUAUGUCAUGUAGCGGUGAAAUGCUUAGAUAUGACAUAGAACACCUAUUGCGAAGGCAGCAAAACUACGCAUAUAUUGACGCUGAGGCACGAAAGCGUGGGGAUCAAACAGG
rnacentral:rRNA from 1 species